rnacentral:lncRNA from 1 species
AACAUGCAAGGAACUAUCAAUUCCAUGAACUUUCGUUUAAAGGAAAUGUCAUGUGAAUUCUGAACUAAUAGCAAUCUAUCGACUACUAUGAUGUUGAUAAUAAUGAACUUUUUGAGUAACUUCUAUAUGGAAUUGAUAAGAAUGGAUCUUGGGCCUAACUCAACCCAAAAGUUAGCUUAUGAGGUGAGGAUUGCCCAAGCCAUAUAAGGAGACCAAGGAACUCAAAUCCCUCCGAUGUGGGACAACUCAAAGCUAGCUUAUGAGGUGAGGAUUGCCCAAGCCAUAUAAGGAGACCAAGGACCUCAAAUCCCUCCGAUGUGGGACAGCUCAACACCCCCUCACGCCCAGAUCUCUGGAGCGUGGACAACAUAAAUGGGGGCCCAACAUCGGUAACAAUAAUUGGGAUGGGCUUGGCUUUGAUACCAUGAUAAGAAUGGAUCUUGGGCCUAACUCAACCCCAAAAGCUAUCUUACGAGGUGAGGAUUGCCCAAGCCAUAUAAGGAGACCAAGGAC